AUGUUACAAACGCCACAUAAACCAGCUGGAAGAAGAAAUGGUAGUGCAAGGUUGCAUGCUCCUUUGCGAGUUGCGAUCCAAACAGGUCAGAAAACCCCAUGUCGGCUGAGGCAUAUACAAGUACAACCGUCUGCCUUCAGUCAGUCUUUCAAAUUCGAAUCCUCGCUGACGACGACGGCACCAGAAACAUCAAGGAGGAAAAGAAACGAAAAAGGCUACGGCCGAUCGAUCAGUUUCCUUACGAUCGAGUAGACAGCGACCGCGAAAGAAGAUGAUGAAGAAGAAAAACCGCGUCGCCGCCCGCACCGCAGUACGUGCCGCGCUCCUCGAUGCCUUGCUCGCCCCCCUGCUAGCUCUUGCCGCCCGGCCGGUCGCGGUCGUGGCUCCAAUGCAAAGUCCGCUGCCCACCCACCGCCAUGCCACGCUCCUCGUGUCGCGUCGCGUCGCGUCGCUUCUCUGUGAAAACCCGGGCUCGACGGCCUAUCUACUGGCGGCUUGCAAGGUAAGAACAUGGCGAUGGAUGGAUGUGGACGUGAAUGUGGUCGGCAGGCGGCAGCCCGGUAUGGAUGGACGGA
rnacentral:lncRNA from 7 species